rnacentral:rRNA from 1 species
GACGAACGCUGGCGGCGUGCUUAACACAUGCAAGUCGAACGGAAAGGCCCUGCUUUUGUGGGGUGCUCGAGUGGCGAACGGGUGAGUAACACGUGAGUAACCUGCCCUUGACUUUGGGAUAACUUCAGGAAACUGGGGCUAAUACCGGAUAGGAGCUCCUGCUGCAUGGUGUGGGUUGGAAAGUUUCGGCGGUUGGGGCUGGACUCGCGGCUUAUCUGCUUGUUGGUGGGGUAGUGGCUUACCAAGGCUUUGACGGGUAGCCGGCCUGAGAGGGUGACCGGCCAAAUUGGGACUGAGUUACGGCCCAGAGUCCUACGGGGGGCAGCAGUCGGGAAUAGUGGACAAUGGGCGGAUGCCUGAUGCAGCAACGCCGCGUGCGGGAGGACGGCCUUCGGGUUAGAAACCGCUUGCGCCUGUGACGAAGCGUGAGUGACGGUAAUGGGUAAAGAAGCACCGGCUAACUACGU